rnacentral:rRNA from 1 species
GAUAAACGCUGGCGGCGUGCCUAACACAUGCAAGUCGAACGUCCUCUGGCCGCAAGGCUGGAGGGAGUGGCGGACGGGUGAGUAACACAUGGGAACCUACCUUCCAGUGAGGAAUACCGGCGAGAAAUCGCCGACAAGACCGCAUGGGCUUCUCCUUAGGGGGAAGCAAAGUUUCUUCGCGAGAGGAGACGCUGGAAGAUGGGCCUGUGGCCGAUUAGCUAGCUGGUGGGGUAAGAGCCUACCAGGGCGACGAUCGGUAGCUGGUCUGAGAGGACGA